rnacentral:rRNA from 1 species
UACGUAGGGGGCAAGCGUUGUCCGGAUUUAUUGGGCGUAAAGAGCGUGUAGGCGGCCAUGUAGGUCCGUUGUGAAAACUCGAGGCUUAACCUCGAGACGUCGAUGGAAACCGUAUGGCUAGAGUCCGGAAGAGGAGAGUGGAAUUCCUGGUGUAGCGGUGAAAUGCGCAGAUAUCAGGAAGAACACCAAUGGCGAAGGCAGCUCUCUGGGACGGUACUGACGCUGAGACGCGAAAGCGUGGGGAGCGAACAGG